rnacentral:lncRNA from 1 species
GAUCAGCCUUUUCUGGAGCACCAAAAGAAGAGAUGGAAUAAUUUCAUGGGAUGAAGAAGAAUACAUCUCCACUGCAUCCUGUACCAUCACAAUCUAGAACUUGCUCUGAUAGACUUCCCAUCGAUCCUACAAUGGCUAGCCAAGGUACUAAAAGAAAGCGAGAUUAUGAACCAUCUGACUCGAGUAUAGAGACAACACUGAC